rnacentral:rRNA from 1 species
GUCAUUUAGNGGAAGUAAAAGUUGUAACAAGGUUUCCGUAGGUGAACCUGCGGAAGGAUCAUUA